rnacentral:rRNA from 1 species
AGCGAACGUUAGCGGCGGGCCUAACACAUGCAAGUCGAACGCGAAAGGUCUUCGGACUGAGUAGAGUGGCGCACGGGUGAGUAACACGUAGGUAAUCUACCCUUUGGCGGGGGAUAACGUUCCGAAAGGAGCGCUAAUACCGCAUAAGACCACGGAGUCUCCGGACGCUGUGGGAAAAGGUGGCCUCUUCUUGAAAGCUAUCACCGAAGGAUGAGCCUGCGUCCCAUCAGCUAGUUGGUAAGGUAGUGGCUUACCAAGGCGAAGACGGGUAGCUGGUUUGAGAGAAUGAUCAGCCACACUGGCACUGGAACACGGGCCAGACUCCUACGGGAGGCAGCAGUGAGGAAUAUUGGGCAAUGGGCGAAAGCCUGACCCAGCCACGCCGCGUGAGUGAUGAAGGCCCUCGGGUCGUAAAGCUCUGUGGAGAGGGACGAAAACCCUGGUUUCAAAUAGGCUCCAGGCUUGACGGUACCUCUUUAGCAAGCACCGGCUAACUCUGUGCCAGCAGCCG